GCCCGUUCCUCCUGCACUAUCAGGAGCAGGAUCAGCAGAAACUCCUCAACAGCAACAUUGUACCCCAUCAGUGUGAACAGGAGCAUGACGAAGCAGCUGAUGUGGUUCAGGUCUUGCCAUCCACAAGUGAUACAGGAAAGAGAAAAUCAGACCUUCAAAGUGACCCCAGCAGGUUGCAGUCACCAGCUAAGCGACAGCGUCUGUCUAUGCCAGGAUUUGAAG